AGCUCCAAUCGCGUAUAUUUAAGUUGUUGCAGUUAAAAAGCUCGUAGUUGGAUUUUGGUUAAGAGGGCGCGGUCGGCCGUUUGGUCUGUACUGCGUCGUCUUGACUUCCUGAUGAGGACAUGCUCUUGGUUAACGCUGAGACAUGGAGUCAUCGUGGUUACUUUGAAAAAAUUAGAGUGUUCAAAGCGGGCUUACGCUUGAAUAUAUUAGCAUGGAAUAACACUAUAGGACUCCUGCCCUAUCUCGUUGGUCUCGGGAUGGGAGUAAUGAUUAAGAGGAACAGUUGGGGGCAUUCGUAUUUCAUUGUCAGAGGUGAAAUUCUUGGAUUUAUGAAAGACGAACUUCUGCGAAAGCAUUUGCCAAGGAUGUUU
rnacentral:rRNA from 1 species